rnacentral:rRNA from 1 species
GUAGGGGGCAAGCGUUGUCCGGAUUUAUUGGGCGUAAAGCGCGUGUAGGCGGCUAUGCAGGUCCGCUGUGAAAACUCGAGGCUCAACCUCGAGACGUCGGUGGAAACCGCAUGGCUAGAGUCCGGAAGAGGAGAGUGGAAUUCCCGGUGUAGCGGUGAAAUGCGCAGAUAUCGGGAAGAACACCCGUGGCGAAGGCGGCUCUCUGGGACGGUACUGACGCUGAGACGCGAAAGCGUGGGGAGCGAACAGGAUUAGAUACCCUGGUAGUCCACGCCGUAAACGAUGGGUGCUAGGUGUGGGAGGUGUCGACUCCUUCCGUGCCGCAGCUAACGCAUUAAGCACCCCGCCUGGGGAGUACGGCCGCAAGGCUAAA